GGUCAAGUGAAGAAGCGCAUACGGUGGAUGCCUUGGCAGUCAGAGGCGAUGAAAGACGUGGUAGCCUGCGAAAAGCUUCGGGGAGUCGGCAAACAGACUUUGAUCCGGAGAUGUCUGAAUGGGGGAACCCAACCAUCAUAAGAUGGUUACCUUACACUGAAUACAUAGGUGUAUGGAGCGAACCAGGGGAACUGAAACAUCUAAGUACCCUGAGGAAAAGAAAUCAACCGAGAUUCCCUUAGUAGUGGCGAGCGAACGGGGACUAGCCCUUAAGUGGCUUUGAGAUUAGCGGAACGCUCUGGAAAGUGCGGCCAUAGUGGGUGAUAGCCCUGUACGCGAAAAUCUCUUAGUCAUGAAAUCGAGUAGGACGGAGCACGAGAAACUUUGUCUGAAUAUGGGGGGACCAUCCUCCAAGGCUAAAUACUACUGACUGACCGAUAGUGAACUAGUACCGUGAGGGAAAGGCGAAAAGAACCCCGGAGAGGGGAGUGAAAUAGAUCCUGAAACCGUAUGCGUACAAGCAGUGGGAGCCCACUUUGUUGGGUGACUGCGUACCUUUUGUAUAAUGGGUCAGCGACUUAUUUUCAGUGGCGAGCUUAACCGAAUAGGGGAGGCGUAGCGAAAGCGAGUCUUAAUAGGGCGUCUAGUCGCUGGGAAUAGACCCGAAACCGGGCGAUCUAUCCAUGGGCAGGUUGAAGGUUGGGUAACACUAACUGGAGGACCGAACCGACUACCGUUGAAAAGUUAGCGGAUGACCUGUGGAUCGGAGUGAAAGGCUAAUCAAGCUCGGAGAUAGCUGGUUCUCCUCGAAAGCUAUUUAGGUAGCGCCUCAUGUAUCACUGUAGGGGGUAGAGCACUGUUUCGGCUAGGGGGUCAUCCCGACUUACCAAACCGAUGCAAACUCCGAAUACCUACAAGUGCCGAGCAUGGGAGACACACGGCGGGUGCUAACGUCCGUCGUGAAAAGGGAAACAACCCAGACCGUCAGCUAAGGUCCCAAAGUUAUGGUUAAGUGGGAAACGAUGUGGGAAGGCUUAGACAGCUAGGAGGUUGGCUUAGAAGCAGCCACCCUUUAAAGAAAGCGUAAUAGCUCACUAGUCGAGUCGGCCUGCGCGGAAGAUGUAACGGGGCUCAAACCAUACACCGAAGCUACGGGUAUCACGUAAGUGAUGCGGUAGAGGAGCGUUCUGUAAGCCUGUGAAGGUGAGUUGAGAAGCUUGCUGGAGGUAUCAGAAGUGCGAAUGCUGACAUGAGUAACGACAAUGGGUGUGAAAAACACCCACGCCGAAAGACCAAGGUUUCCUGCGCAACGUUAAUCGACGCAGGGUUAGUCGGUCCCUAAGGCGAGGCUGAAAAGCGUAGUCGAUGGAAAACAGGUUAAUAUUCCUGUACUUCUGGUUAUUGCGAUGGAGGGACGGAGAAGGCUAGGCCAGCUUGGCGUUGGUUGUCCAAGUUUAAGGUGGUAGGCUGAGAUCUUAGGUAAAUCCGGGAUCUUAAGGCCGAGAGCUGAUGACGAGUCGUCUUUUAGACGACGAAGUGGUUGAUGCCAUGCUUCCAAGAAAAGCUUCUAAGCUUCAGGUAACCAGGAACCGUACCCCAAACCGACACAGGUGGUUGGGUAGAGAAUACCAAGGCGCUUGAGAGAACUCGGGUGAAGGAACUAGGCAAAAUGGCACCGUAACUUCGGGAGAAGGUGCGCCGGUGAGGGUGAAGGACUUGCUCCGUAAGCUCAUGCCGGUCGAAGAUACCAGGCCGCUGCGACUGUUUAUUAAAAACACAGCACUCUGCAAACACGAAAGUGGACGUAUAGGGUGUGACGCCUGCCCGGUGCCGGAAGGUUAAUUGAUGGGGUUAGCUAACGCGAAGCUCUUGAUCGAAGCCCCGGUAAACGGCGGCCGUAACUAUAACGGUCCUAAGGUAGCGAAAUUCCUUGUCGGGUAAGUUCCGACCUGCACGAAUGGCGUAACGAUGGCGGCGCUGUCUCCACCCGAGACUCAGUGAAAUUGAAAUCGCUGUGAAGAUGCAGUGUAUCCGCGGCUAGACGGAAAGACCCCGUGAACCUUUACUAUAGCUUUGCACUGGACUUUGAAUUUGCUUGUGUAGGAUAGGUGGGAGGCUUUGAAGCGUGGACGCCAGUCUGCGUGGAGCCAACCUUGAAAUACCACCCUGGCAACUUUGAGGUUCUAACUCAGGUCCGUUAUCCGGAUCGAGGACAGUGUAUGGUGGGUAGUUUGACUGGGGCGGUCUCCUCCUAAAGAGUAACGGAGGAGUACGAAGGUGCGCUCAGACCGGUCGGAAAUCGGUCGUAGAGUAUAAAGGCAAAAGCGCGCUUGACUGCGAGACAGACACGUCGAGCAGGUACGAAAGUAGGUCUUAGUGAUCCGGUGGUUCUGUAUGGAAGGGCCAUCGCUCAACGGAUAAAAGGUACUCCGGGGAUAACAGGCUGAUACCGCCCAAGAGUUCAUAUCGACGGCGGUGUUUGGCACCUCGAUGUCGGCUCAUCACAUCCUGGGGCUGAAGCCGGUCCCAAGGGUAUGGCUGUUCGCCAUUUAAAGUGGUACGCGAGCUGGGUUUAGAACGUCGUGAGACAGUUCGGUCCCUAUCUGCCGUGGACGUUUGAGAUUUGAGAGGGGCUGCUCCUAGUACGAGAGGACCGGAGUGGACGAACCUCUGGUGUUCCGGUUGUCACGCCAGUGGCAUUGCCGGGUAGCUAUGUUCGGAAUAGAUAACCGCUGAAAGCAUCUAAGCGGGAAACUAGCCUCAAGAUGAGAUCUCACUGGAACCUUGAGUUCCCUGAAGGGCCGUCGAAGACUACGACGUUGAUAGGUUGGGUGUGUAAGCGCUGUGAGGCGUUGAGCUAACCAAUACUAAUUGCCCGUGAGGCUUGACCAUAU
rnacentral:rRNA from 1 species